UACAGAGGUCCCAAGCGUUGUUCGGAUUCACUGGGCGUAAAGGGUGCGUAGGUGGCCAGGUAAGUUCGGUGUGAAAGCUCGGAGCUUAACUCCGAAAUGUCAUUGAAUACUAUCUGGCUAGAGGGUCGGAGGGGAGACUGGAAUUCUCGGUGUAGCAGUGAAAUGCGUAGAUAUCGAGAGGAACACCAGUGGCGAAGGCGAGUCUCUGGACGACACCUGACACUGAGGCACGAAAGCGUGGGGAUCAAACAGG
rnacentral:rRNA from 1 species